rnacentral:rRNA from 1 species
GACGAACGCUGGCGGCGUGCUUAACACAUGCAAGUCGAACGGAAAGGCCUUUUCGGAGGUACUCGAGUGGCGCACGGGUGAGUAACACGUGGGUGAUCUGCCCUGCACUCUGGGAUAAGCCUGGGAAACUGGGUCUAAUACCGGAUAGGACCGCACUUUAGUGUGUGUGGUGGAAAGUUUUUUCGGUGUAGGAUGAGCCCGCGGCCUAUCAGCUUGUUGGUGGGGUAAUGGCCUACCAAGGCGGCGACGGGUAGCCGGACUGAGAGGUUGGUCGGCCACAUUGGGACUGAGGUACGGCACAGACGCCGACGGGAGGCAGAAGUGGGGAAUAUUGAACAAUGGGCGCAAGCCUGAUGCAGCGACGCCGCGUGGGGGAUGACGGCCUUGGGGUUGUAAAAUCCUUUCGCCAGGGACGAAGCGUUUUGUGACGGUACCUGGAGAAGAAGCACCGGCUAACUACGUG